AUUUCUCCCAGUUCUCUGGUAGGCUGCUUUUUCUGGCUGGAAAUGCAAUCGAUGUGUAUAAAUUGAAAUAGAUUAGUGUCCGAGUUCUGUAUAAAGUAGAAUGCAUAUGAUAAUGCUGUUUUGCUUUAGGAAGAGAUGGCAGCUUUGGCCCAAUUGAGCACACACAUACUCCAAUCCUACCCUUGGCCAUUUUUCUCCCUACAUUACCAUAUUCUUCCACUCGCAUGAUAAGGCUAAAUGCUGUUAAAAAUAUAAAAAAUAUUAUGGAUUCCUGGGCUAGGUUACAACUUAUAUUUCGUCUCAAAGCAGGCUUUUCUGCAGUAGAUUGAUACGGAAAGGCAAGCCCAGACUUGCCCCAGGUUGCUGGGUAUUAAGACAAUGUCCGAUGCCUUUGAGGUGUGCAGUGAAUGAUGACUUUGAUAUGCGACUGCCUUGUACCAACUGACAGGAUGCCUUUGAUGCGACUACCUUGUACCAACUGACAGGAUGCCUUUGAUGCGACUGAUGAUUGACAAGAGACAAACUCAGAUGCAUCCUGUGGUAAUGUGUAUUGACUGUACCUCGGACCAUGACUAACAUCUUUGGAAUGUGCUUAGGUGCCAAAAAAACUAUAAAAUACCAUGUAAUUCUUUGUUCAUUGAAGUGGAGGAGAGUCAAGUGUCUAUGUUGCUUACUUGGCUGGUGUAUCCUCGCUACUUCCAUCGGCCGAUAAUUAGUAAAUUUUGAAUUGGUCUACCUAA